GAAAUGCGAUAAGUAAUGUGAAUUGCAGAAUUCCGUGAAUCAUCGAAUCUUUGAACGCACAUUGCGCCCUCUGGCAUUCCGGGGGGCAUGCCUGUUCGAGCGUCAUUUGUACCUUCAAGCUUUGCUUGGUGUUGGGUGUUUGUCUCGCCUCUGCGUGUAGACUCGCCUCAAAACAAUUGGCAGCCGGCGUAUUGAUUUCGGAGCGCAGUACAUCUCGCGCUUUGCACUCAUAACGACGACGUCCAAAAGUACAUUUUUGCACUCUUGACCUCGGAUCAGGUAGGGAUACCCGCUGAACUUAAGA
rnacentral:misc_RNA from 1 species